rnacentral:rRNA from 1 species
AGAGUUUGAUCCUGGCUCAGAGCGAACGCUGGCGGCGUGCUUAACACAUGCAAGUCGAGUGCGCGUUCCGUAGCAAUACGGGAUGGCGCACGGCGCACGGGUGCGUAACACGUGGGUAAUCUGCCCUCCGAUGGGGAAUAACCCCGCGAAAGCGGGGCUAAUUCCGCAUAACAUUCCGGGAACUCCGGUUCCUGGAUUCAAAGGCGUAAGUCGUCGGAGGUGGAGCCCGCGCACGAUUAGCUAGUUGGUAGGGUAACGGCCUACCAAGGCUAUGAUCGUUAGCUGGUCUGAGAGGAUGGCCAGCCACACUGGAACUGAGACACGGUCCAGACUCCUACGGGAGGCAGCAGUGGGGAAUCUUGCACAAUGGGCGAAAGCCUGAUGCAGCGACGCCGCGUGGGGGAUGAAGCUUCUCGGAGUGUAAACCCCUUUCGACCGGGACGAAUGCCCGCAAGGGAGUGACGGUACCGGUAUAAGAAGCCCCGGCUAACUACGUGCCAGCAGCCGCGGUAAGACGUGGGGGGCCAGCGUUGCUCGGAAUUACUGGGUGUAAAGGGUUCGUAGGCGGUGUGGCAAGUCGGGAGUGAAAUUUCUGGGCUUAACUCAGAGACUGCUUCCGAAACUGCUGUGCUUGAGUGUGGGAGAGGCGCGUGGAAUUGCAGGUGUAGCGGUGAAAUGCGUAGAUAUCUGCAGGAACACCCGUGGCGAAAGCGGCGCGCUGGACCACUACUGACGCUGAGGAAC